GACGAACGCUGGCGGCGUGCUUAACACAUGCAAGUCGAACGGAAAGGCCCUGCUUUUGUGGGGUGCUCGAGUGGCGAACGGGUGAGUAACACGUGAGUAACCUGCCCUUGACUUUGGGAUAACUUCAGGAAACUGGGGCUAAUACCGGAUAGGAGCUCCUGCUGCAUGGUGGGGGUUGGAAAGUUUCGGCGGUUGGGGAUGGACUCGCGGCUUAUCAGCUUGUUGGUGGGGUAGUGGCUUACCAAGGCUUUGACGGGUAGCCGGCCUGAGAGGGUGACCGGCCACAUUGGGACUGAGAUACGGCCCAGACUCCUACGGGAGGCAGCAGGGGGGAAUAUUGCACAAUGGGCGGAAGCCUGAUGCAGCAACGCCGCGUGCGGGAUGACGGCCUUCGGGUUGUAAACCGCUUUCGCCUGUGACGAAGCGUGAGUGACGGUAAUGGGUAAAGAAGCACCGGCUAACUACGUGCCAGCAGCCGCGGUGAUACGUAGGGUGCGAGCGUUGUCCGGAUUUAUUGGGCGUAAAGGGCUCGUAGGUGGUUGAUCGCGUCGGAAGUGUAAUCUUGGGGCUUAACCCUGAGCGUGCUUUCGAUACGGGUUGACUUGAGGAAGGUAGGGGAGAAUGGAAUUCCUGGUGGAGCGGUGGAAUGCGCAGAUAUCAGGAGGAACACCAGUGGCGAAGGCGGUUCUCUGGGCCUUUCCUGACGCUGAGGAGCGAAAGCGUGGGGAGCGAACAGGCUUAGAUACCCUGGUAGUCCACGCUGUAAACGGUGGGUACUAGGUGUGGGGUCCAUUCCACGGGUUCCGUUCCGUAGCUAACGCUUUAAGUACCCCGCCUGGGGAGUACGGCCGCAAGGCUAAAACUCAAAGGAAUUGACGGGGCCCCGCACAAGCGGCGGAGCAUGCGGAUUAAUUCGAUGCAACGCGUAGAACCUUACCUGGGUUUGACAUGGAUCGGGAGUGCUCAGAGAUGGGUGUGCCUCUUUUGGGGUCGGUUCACAGGUGGUGCAUGGCUGUCGUCAGCUCGUGUCGUGAGAUGUUGGGUUAAGUCCCGCAACGAGCGCAACCCUUGUUCACUGUUGCCAGCACGUUAUGGUGGGGACUCAGUGGAGACCGCCGGGGUCAACUCGGAGGAAGGUGGGGAUGACGUCAAGUCAUCAUGCCCCUUAUGUCCAGGGCUUCACGCAUGCUACAAUGGCUGGUACAGAGAGUGGCGAGCCUGUGAGGGUGAGCGAAUCUCGGAAAGCCGGUCUCAGUUCGGAUUGGGGUCUGCAACUCGACCUCAUGAAGUCGGAGUCGCUAGUAAUCGCAGAUCAGCAACGCUGCGGUGAAUACGUUCCCGGG
rnacentral:rRNA from 1 species